AUGUCAACAGAGUGUUCUCUCUUUCAGGAGAAUGUCAACAGAGUGUUCUCUCUUUCAGGAGAAUGUCAACAGAGUGUUCUCUCUUUCAGGAGAAUGUCAACAGAGUGCUCUCUCUUUCAGGAGAAUGUCAACAGAGUGCUCUCUCUUUCAGGAGAAUGUCAACAGAGUGCUCUCUCUUUCAGGAGAAUGUCAACAGAGUGCUCUCUCUUUCAGGAGAAUGUCAACAGAGUGCUCUCUCUUUCAGGAGAAUGUCAACAGAGUGUUCUCUCUUUCAGGAGAAUGUCAACAGAGUGUUCUCUCUUUCAGGAGAAUGUCAACAGAGUGCUCUCUCUUUCAGGAGAAUGUCAACAGAGUGCUCUCUCUUUCAGGAGAAUGUCAACAGAGUGCUCUCUCUUUCAGGAGAAUGUCAACAGAGUGCUCUCUCUUUCAGGAGAAUGUCAACAGAGUGCUCUCUCUUUCAGGAGAAUGUCAACAGAGUGCUCUCUCUUUCAGGAGAAUGUCAACAGAGUGCUCUCUCUUUCAGGAGAAUGUCAACAGAGUGCUCUCUCUUUCAGGAGAAUGUCAACAGAGUGCUCUCUCUUUCAGGAGAAUGUCAACAGAGUGCUCUCUCUUUCAGGAGAAUGUCAACAGAGUGUUCUCUCUUUCAGGAGAAUGUCAACAGAGUGUUCUCUCUUUCAGGAGAAUGUCAACAGAGUGUUCUCUCUUUCAGGAGAAUGUCAACAGAGUGUUCUCUCUUUCAGGAGAAUGUCAACAGAGUGUUCUCUCUUUCAGGAGAAUGUCAACAGAGUGCUCUCUCUUUCAGGAGAAUGUCAACAGAGUGCUCUCUCUUUCAGGAGAAUGUCAACAGAGUGCUCUCUCUUUCAGGAGAAUGUCAACAGAGUGCUCUCUCUUUCAGGAGAAUGUCAACAGAGUGCUCUCUCUUUCAGGAGAAUGUCAACAGAGUGCUCUCUCUUUCAGGAGAAUGUCAACAGAGUGCUCUCUCUUUCAGGAGAAUGUCAACAGAGUGCUCUCUCUUUCAGGAGAAUGUCAACAGAGUGCUCUCUCUUUCAGGAGAAUGUCAACAGAGUGUUCUCUCUUUCAGGAGAAUGUCAACAGAGUGUUCUCUCUUUCAGGAGAAUGUCAACAGAGUGUUCUCUCUUUCAGGAGAAUGUCAACAGAGUGUUCUCUCUUUCAGGAGAAUGUCAACAGAGUGUUCUCUCUUUCAGGAGAAUGUCAACAGAGUGUUCUCUCUUUCAGGAGAAUGUCAACAGAGUGUUCUCUCUUUCAGGAGAAUGUCAACAGAGUGUUCUCUCUUUCAGGAGAAUGUCAACAGAGUGUUCUCUCUUUCAGGAGAAUGUCAACAGAGUGUUCUCUCUUUCAGGAGAAUGUCAACAGAGUGUUCUCUCUUUCAGGAGAAUGUCAACAGAGUGUUCUCUCUUUCAGGAGAAUGUCAACAGACUGUUGUCUGUUUCAGGAGAAGGUCAACAGACUGUUGUCUGUUUCAGGAGAACGUCAUCAGACUGUUGUCUGUUUCAGGAGAACGUCAUCAGACUGUUGUCUGUUUCAGGAGAACGUCAUCAGAGUGUUGUCUGUUUCAGGAGAACGUCAUCAGAGUGUUAUCUGUUUCAGGAGAACGUCAUCAGUGUUUACUGUUUCCGGAGAACGUCAUGA
rnacentral:lncRNA from 1 species